GGUAUUGGCUGGUGUCUGUGCUGCCUCUGGGGGAGCUGCCCGCCUCUCUGCGGCCUUGUCCCUGCCUGCCCCGUGAGGAGCCGUCCAUGCUGGGUACGGCCCCUCCGCACCUACUGCGGGAAAGGCGGCUGUGGAGGGGAUCUGAAGCGCGGUGCCCGGUUUGCCUUAGCUCCUUGCCCAAGGGAGAGCACUCAUUGAAUUUGGAUGGGUCUGUGGCCCCAGGUCCUGCUCUCUCAGUCAGAAGCAAAGGACCAGUGGGUACCCCCUCAGUGUGGAACUGAGUGGGAGGGACAGACAGACCUGCCAGUGACCUACAGGAGCCUGCAGUCUUGCCUGAGCAGGAUGCUGCCUGUGCUCCGCUGCCUUCCUGCUGUCUCCUGCUGCAUCCUGGAGAAGCCAAAGCACAGAAGGAGCCCAGCGGGACACCUGGCAUGUGUUGACACAGCUGGCAGUCCUGCCCUGCUGCUGUGUAAGAUUCCCCCUGAUCAGCUGCAACAGGGCAGGGUGAGAGCUGAAGUUUUAAUAGCGCUGGUUGUGUUUGGCUAGGGAGUCCUGUACCACUGGGAAGCUGUUCUGGAGACUCCCCCUGCCUGCAUUCAAAAAAUGUGAGAAAAUGUAUAAUAUCCUCAGUUAUUCGAGUCCCCUGCUCCAAGGGACGCUUGGACAGACUUUUAGGUCGCUUUUAUUACUUUCUGACAGAGGAGGGAGCUGUCAGCUCAGCAUUGAGCUUUUCAGCAGGCAGAGAUGCCCACCGGGAGCUGUCUGGGCAGCCCACUGAAGGGACACGUUCAGCUUGAUGUGCAGGAGAUGGAGCUAAUUUGGAAGUGCUUAAAUCUUCUGCUUUAAGUGCAUGUAUGGAGUGUUUGUGUCCCUGUACAAUGAAAACCAGAGUAAUGAGCCUGCAGGGACAGUGGGAGCAGUGGGCUUGAGAAGCUGUUUGGAGGUAGAACAUUUGGCAGUAGAAUCCUGCAGUUUUUGUUGCUGUAGCAGUGUCCCCGUCUGUUGUACCAAGAGUCCCCAGAAACCUGGACAGCACCUUCCUGUCCAGAGCCAGAGCACCCUCCUCUGUGCCACAGCAAUGCAAGCAGCCCUUUUAUCUGGGAGACCUGCCAGGCAGCAGAAACAGGCAAGGAAACAGCUACACUAAACUGGUCUGAGGUUGACUCAAGCCAACGUGGACUGGUCUGAAGUGGAAUAACAACCUGAUUCUAUCUCGUGUUUCUCCUGCUACAACCCGCCAGCAGCCUUCCUGCCUCAGCCAGUGGCAGUGUUGUGAGGUAUGGCUUAAUUACAGCCCUGGAAUAAAAAGAAUUUCUUCAUUAGAUGUUGCUUUACAACUGCAUCAGUCAUCUUCUGUCCAGCUGCUGGUGGCAGAGCUCCAAGUGGGAUGAAUGGGGCUGGUUUGGCAGGUAUGUGGAAUGGUGGUGGUUGGAGCGUGCAGCUAGGCAGAGCAGGGUUA